rnacentral:rRNA from 1 species
GGGACACGUGGUAUCCUGUCUGAAUAUGGGGGGACCAUCCUCCAAGGCUAAAUACUCCUGACUGACCGAUAGUGAACCAGUACCGUGAGGGAAAGGCGAAAAGAACCCCGGCGAGGGGAGUGAAAAAGAACCUGAAACCGUGUACGUACAAGCAGUGGGAGCCUCUUAAUGGGGUGACUGCGUACCUUUUGUAUAAUGGGUCAGCGACUUAUAUUCUGUAGCAAGGUUAACCGAAUAGGGGAGCCGAAGGGAAACCGAGUCUUAACUGGGCGUUAAGUUGCAGGGUAUAGACCCGAAACCCGGUGAUCUAGCCAUGGGCAGGUUGAAGGUUGGGUAACACUAACUGGAGGACCGAACCGACUAAUGUUGAAAAAUUAGCGGAUGACUUGUGGCUGGGGGUGAAAGGCCAAUCAAACCGGGAGAUAGCUGGUUCUCCCCGAAAGCUAUUUAGGUAGCGCCUCGUGAAUUCAUCUCCGGGGGUAGAGCACUGUUUCGGCAAGGGGGUCAUCCCGACUUACCAACCCGAUGCAAACUGCGAAUACCGGAGAAUGUUAUCACGGGAGACACACGGCGGGUGCUAACGUCCGUCGUGAAGAGGGAAACAACCCAGACCGCCAGCUAAGGUCCCAAAGUCAUGGUUAAGUGGGAAACGAUGUGGGAAGGCCCAGACAGCCAGGAUGUUGGCUUAGAAGCAGCCAUCAUUUAAAGAAAGCGUAAUAGCUCACUGGUCGAGUCGGCCUGCGCGGAAGAUGUAACGGGGCUAAACCAUGCACCGAAGCUGCGGCAGCGACGCUUAUGCGUUGUUGGGUAGGGGAGCGUUCUGUAAGCCUGUGAAGGUGUGCUGUGAGGCAUGCUGGAGGUAUCAGAAGUGCGAAUGCUGACAUAAGUAACGAUAAAGCGGGUGAAAAGCCCGCUCGCCGGAAGACCAAGGGUUCCUGUCCAACGUU